GAUGAACGCUGGCGGCGUGCCUAAUACAUGCAAGUCGAGCGAACAGACGAGGAGCUUGCUCCUCUGACGUUAGCGGCGGACGGGUGAGUAACACGUGGAUAACCUACCUAUAAGACUGGGAUAACUUCGGGAAACCGGAGCUAAUACCGGAUAAUAUAUUGAACCGCAUGGUUCAAUAGUGAAAGACGGUUUUGCUGUCACUUAUAGAUGGAUCCGCGCCGCAUUAGCUAGUUGGUAAGGUAACGGCUUACCAAGGCAACGAUGCGUAGCCGACCUGAGAGGGUGAUCGGCCACACUGGAACUGAGACACGGUCCAGACUCCUACGGGAGGCAGCAGUAGGGAAUCUUCCGCAAUGGGCGAAAGCCUGACGGAGCAACGCCGCGUGAGUGAUGAAGGUCUUCGGAUCGUAAAACUCUGUUAUUAGGGAAGAACAAAUUUGUAAGUAACUAUGCACGCCUUGACGGUACCUAAUCAGAAAGCCACGGCUAACUACGUG
rnacentral:rRNA from 1 species